UACAGAGGGUGCGAGCGUUAAUCGGAGUUACUGGGCGUAAAGGGCGCGUAGGCGGUAAGAUGUGUGUGAUGUGAAAGCCCCGGGCUUAACCUGGGAAGUGCAUCGCAAACUAUCUAACUGGAGUAUAUGAGAGGGUGGCGGAAUUUCCGGUGUAGCGGUGAAAUGCGUAGAGAUCGGAAGGAACGUCGAUGGCGAAGGCAGCCACCUGGCAUAAUACUGACGCUGAGGCGCGAAAGCGUGGGGAGCGAACAGG
rnacentral:rRNA from 1 species